rnacentral:rRNA from 1 species
AGAGUUUGAUCCUGGCUCAGGAUGAACGCUGGCGGCGUGCUUAACACAUGCAAGUCGAACGAACCUUCGGGUUAGUGGCGGACGGGUGAGUAACGCGUGAGAAUCUGCCCUCAGGAGGGGGAUAACGGCUGGAAACGGCCGCUAAUACCCCGUAUGCCGAGAGGUGAAAUGAAUUUCGCCUGAGGAUGAGCUCGCGUCUGAUUAGCUAGUUGGUGUGGUAAAGGUUCACCAAGGCAUCGAUCAGUAGCUGGUCUGAGAGGAUGAUCAGCCACACUGGGACUGAGACACGGCCCAGACUCCUACGGGAGGCAGCAGUGGGGAAUUUUCCGCAAUGGGCGCAAGCCUGACGGAGCAACGCCGCGUGAGGGAUGAAGGCCUCUGGGCUGUAAACCUCUUUUAUCAAGGAAGAAGAUCUGACGGUACUUGAUGAAUAAGCCACGGCUAAUUCCGUGCCAGCAGCCGCGGUAAUACGGGAGUGGCAAGCGUUAUCCGGAAUUAUUGGGCGUAAAGCGUCCGCAGGCGGUCUUGAAAGUCUGUUGUUAAAGCGUGGAGCUCAACUCCAUUUCAGCAAUGGAAACUAGAAGACUAGAGUGUGGUAGGGGCAGAGGGAAUUCCCGGUGUAGCGGUGAAAUGCGUAGAUAUCGGGAAGAACACCAGUGGCGAAGGCGCUCUGCUGGGCCAUAACUGACGCUCAUGGACGAAAGCCAGGGGAGCGAAAGGGAUUAGAUACCCCUGUAGUCCUGGCCGUAAACGAUGAACACUAGGUGUCGGGGGAAUCGACCCCCUCGGUGUCGUAGCCAACGCGUUAAGUGUUCCGCCUGGGGAGUACGCACGCAAGUGUGAAACUCAAAGGAAUUGACGGGGGCCCGCACAAGCGGUGGAGUAUGUGGUUUAAUUCGAUGCAACGCGAAGAACCUUACCAGGGUUUGACAUCCUGCGAAUCCCUUGGAAACUUGGGAGUGCCUUCGGGAGCGCAGUGACAGGUGGUGCAUGGCUGUCGUCAGCUCGUGUCGUGAGAUGUUGGGUUAAGUCCCGCAACGAGCGCAACCCACGUCUUUAGUUGCCAGCAUUAAGUUGGGCACUCUAGAGAGACUGCCGGUGAUAAACCGGAGGAAGGUGUGGAUGACGUCAAGUCAUCAUGCCCCUUACAUCCUGGGCUACACACGUACUACAAUGCUACGGACAAAGGGCAGCAAACUCGCGAGAGCUAGCAAAUCCCAUAAACCGUGGCUCAGUUCAGAUCGUAGGCUGCAACUCGCCUACGUGAAGGAGGAUCGCUAGUAAUCGCAGGUCAGCAUACUGCGGUGAAUACGUUCCCGGGCCUUGUACACACCGCCCGUCACACCAUGGAAGUUGGCCACGCCCGAAGUCGUUACUCCAACCCGCAAGGGAGGAGGAUGCCGAAGGUGGGGCUGAUGACUGGGGUGAAGUCGUAACAAGGUA